AAAUAUUCACUAUAAAUAAUCAUUAAUUUUGGCAAACACUUGUCAAAUGUUCUUAAUGAGGAGAUUAAAACAGAUGUGAUAAUGACUAGUAGGCAAAACAAGUUGUUCCAGCUGUUUGCCAAGCCGUCAGAAAAAAAUCCCUUCUUCCUCCACCCUCUUACGUACAGUAAUUUAUGUAUAACUCAAUUGCAGCACUUAUUUGCCUUUGAUGUAUAUUCUUAGGUGUCUUUCCAGUUAAAAUGUUUACACCCUGAGGGCAGGACCUGUACUGCAACUCUGUAAGGAUCUCUUAAAGGGUGUCUGUCCCUCUGUAAACCUUGUGGGCCAAUAAACAGCACAAAAAUUUCCAUUUGCUUGUCCCCCAUUUAGCAACUUCCACCUCCCUCUUUUUCCUUGUCUUUGAAAUGUAAGUGUAAUAUUUGCCCAGACUUGGGAGGCAACAUUGCAUAAUGGAUUUAGAAGUCAGCCUGGUUUUAACUCUUUGCUCUCUGACUUAUUAGCUCUCUGACCCUGGGAAAAUUGCUUAGCUCCUUUAAUUUCUUCUCUGUAAAAUGAAGAUAACAGGCUCUACUUUAUGAAGUGUGCAGAUGAAAGGAGAUCAUGUUUUAAAGACUUUAGCAAGUUGCCUAGUGUAACUCUUGAUAAAUGGUGACAGUUAACUAUUGCUAUUUCCUCAAAGGGACAGAUAUACCCACCAAAACAAAAAGCAAAAGCAAGCAAGCAAACAAACAAACAAAAACCAAAAGAUCAUUGGCUAGUUCUUGCCUUUCCCUCUAGUGUACACAACAACUUCUGUGUUGGAUGCAAGCAGAGGCUAAAUGUCAAUAGAGGUUAGGUCUGAGACUCUUAACAAAGUCAAUCUGGAAUGUAUGCCUGUUGAUAAAAAUUAGGUUUUUAUGUUUUCAAAACUGAAAGAGGUGUUCAGAGUAUUGAAAUAAGGGGAAAAUAGGGUAGGGCGGGGUAGUAGUAACCAUAAGAGCAUUUCAUUAGGGUAAAAUAUAACUUGAGGCAGUCUCUAGCCUAAAGCACCAACCACAUUAUACAACUCCAGGGAAUGAAUUAUAGUGACAUUUGUUCUUUCCUAACUAGUAAGCGACCCUUCAGAAUAACAACCUACUGAAGCUGUUUUGCCCUAGGACCAUUAUUGGUUUUCUCCAGGGUUUCCUUACUGUAGGUACUUGAGCACACGUGUUUGAGUUUAUUUUCCAUGUAACAGCCGACUCUUAAAAGUGGGGGAACCUCUUGUGGACCUGCUCACUAAAUUUCCACCAGGUUUCUGCAUUUGCUGCAGGAGACGGCUCAAGGAAAUACGGCAUCACCCAUGUGUUAUAUUUCCAAUACUUCCUCCCUCCACCUGGAUUUCUUGUAUAUUAAGCCAGUUAUAAACAGCAAACACGCUUGUAAAAAUCUAUAGAGCAAGAGAUGGCAACAUCUUCUGCACAUAAUCAGCAUUCUCAAAUCAGGUCAAAUAUAGCUCCCUUUGAAAGGCAGAAUUUAAAAAAUGAUGAGCAAAAUAAAUACUUCAUGAGGCCAAGUGAAUGUCCUCUUCUGUGGAAGCAAAUACACACUUCUUCCUUUUCCUUUAAGGAAGCCAGAUUCUGAUUCAUUUUUUGUGUGUGUGUUCAAGACUCAGCAGAAACACAAUGCUUCAUUAUUUUAUAGAGGCUUAUUACAACACGAUGACAGCACUAUAAUUUCCUUCAGGGGGAAGUGCGCUACUUGGCUGUAGGCCAGCCAGGCUCAGCGUCAUUUAGCAGUUCCGUACCUUCUGACACAGGCAAACGCUUCUACGUUUAGGUAUUUUGUAUUCUUUGAGGAAGCAUUUUUUAAAACAUUGUUUUAACAGCAUCUAAGUAGAAGCAGCAGGUGGAUUUUGCAUGUGAACCUGGUGAGGACUUUCAGUCUACAAGUGAUUGCAAGUGACUGUACUACCCAAUUUUCCUGAGGCUGACACAGUCAUAAAAUCAGUUUGCUGUGCAGAGGGCCUUUUGGUUCUUUUGUCAAAGGAACCCUGUAAUUGUAAAAUUCCUCCUCGAUUUCAUCAUUUACGUAGACCUAAAUAAUAUUCCCUUGUCUUUUUUUUUUUUUUUCAGGUAUGUAGUCAUUCUUGCUGUUUAUUUUGAAGUUAUAGUCAGUUAAGUGAAGACCUGAGGGAACUAGCUAAGAUCUAAAACUAGGAAUACUUCAUAUUUUUGUCCAUUAAAAAAAGAGACAAAGAUUUUUCAGAAGUCUUCUGCCCUGCCCUCCACUCCUGUCUCUUGUUAUCGCUGUGGACUUCUGCCCCAGGAGACUGUGUCUCUACGUAGGAGUUGUGCAAUCCUUACUUCCGAGAACUACCUGAGUGUUACUCAGUUCCUCAGUACCUGCGUGCUCACUUCCUAUGUGGACAGGCACGGUGGCUGCUGUGUGACUAGUCCUGCAGUCCAACAGGAGACACGAUGGGGAGGUACCCUGGAAGAUAAAUAGAAGAUAAGAAACCUGCUAGAUGACUGGAGGACAAGUCUCUGUUUCCUCCAGCUUCUUUUGACCCUUCUCCCUCCUGCAGACAGCUAAGGGUAGGAAGCCCUUUCUCUUCAUUCCCAUGUAUAGGGAGGCCCUGUGUGUGUCCUGGGGAUGCGGUGGUGACCAAAGUGGGCUCGAUGCUGGUUCUCGUGGAGUGUACAGUUGGGUGGAAGAAGACAGACUUUGUAUGAAUAAUCACUCCAGUAUGUAAUUCCUAACUCUAUCAAAAGGGACAAUGGAGGUAAAAAUAUUGAAAUGGAAGAUUUUGGCUGAAAAUGGUAGGAAAAUUUAAACUUUUAUCAUAUUUUUGGAUGUCUGUAAGAAUUAUAACUCAUAUUUUCUCCCCUUCUAUCCUCCUACAAUAAUUAACUUUUUAAGCUUAUGAUGCAGAAUUUUUAUAGGGAAAAGGAGAAGAAUUAAUAUUUGUUACAACUAUUUUAGCUGCUUGGCUUCGCUUGGCUCAACUGUUUAUGGGAAAACACAUUUUUUGGGGGUUGGUAAACACCAGUCUGAUUUCUCCCAAAUUAUUUCCCAAUGGUCUUGAUAUUUAGUGAGUCAGAACUGGACUUUGCAUGAAAGUUUUGGAAUUCCAAAAAAUUUCUGACAUCUAUAAUCAGGGGUGAAUGUUCUUGCACAUGAAGAAUAUGGGAAGACAAGUAGAUACAGGAGGUGGGAAAUAUGAGUAGCAGUCAUUUGCACUCUUCUCCAAAUCUCAGGAAGACUACUCUUAGAAGCUUAUGAGAUAAUUAUACACAGAAAAAUACAUUUUUUUCUGGUUCCAUAUCUAAGAAAUUAACUUAAAAUAACUUUCCAGUAUUAGAAGUUGAACACUGGAGGAGCAAGCUGACCUCCUUAAUAUAGCAGGACGACACAUUUUGUUAAGUUGGUUUUCAUAGUUUCCUUGAAAGUUAUGGGUAUAUAUUAGAAGAAACCCUUCAGUAUUUUUUCCUUUGUAUUCUUCUCCUGUUUACCUUUUGUCCUUUCUUUUGUCUCAGUUUUCCCUGAAUGAUGAACCUCUGUGAACCAUGUGAACCUAUGAGCGUUGUUGCUAAUAUUAAUAAUACAUAUGCUAUUGGUGGUUAAAAAAUGUGCAGAGGUGAGAGGGCACAUGAAUGGUGUGAUAAUGUUGAAGAAUACUUUUCACAGAUUUUUUAUUUCUUAGGUCAAGGAAAUUGCUAAUACUCUGUAAGGGAAAAGCUCAUUUGCAACUGUAGAUUAAUACUGUGCUAUUCUUGAUGAAAAUCUUUAGUUCUAGUCUGGUGUUUAAUUGCUUGCCAUUUUAAUAAAAACAUGAGAGCUGAAUUGGUGAGAGUAAAGAGAGCACGUUAAGGAAGACAGAAUAAAGGAAUGAAAAAGGGAGUGUGAACCACUACUGACAACCUCACCACUAGGUCUUCUCCAAUUGGUAGAACCCACUUGCAAGCCAGAGGGCAAGAGAGCCCAGAUGAUGGAACCAAAGGGGUCAACCUCUUGAGGUACAGCAAGGAAGAGAAGAGCCAAGAAUGAGUCUGGAGAGGACGAAGAACAGGCAGCACUCCAGUUACUCAACUCUCCAGUUCUUCAGAAAUUCAUGUACUUUCAGCUCCUUUUGAGAGAAGCACUUUAUUAAAAUUUUAAAAAUUAAAAAUCUAAUUUUUUUUAAAUUAAGCUACUGUUAGGGUUUUGGAGAGGGCUCAAUAAAUAGAACAGACUGGGGAAUAAUCUAAGUAAUAGGUGGCAGCUAAAAUGCCAUGCUUGAGAUUGGUCAAGUUAGGUUGGAGGCAAUAACUUCAUGGGAGCAGCUAUGAAUCUACCAACUGAGCCCAGAAAAUUGAAUUUGUUUUGUGUAACCAGCACAAUUCAUCAGUCUUCUCUGCCUGGUCUCAUAAGGCACCAGACCAUGUGGGAGAGAGCCUGUUCCUAGAGGAGAGUAGAGAAUGUGUGCCUCCUCUGGCUGUUUGGCCUCCCCACCCCUUUCAGAGGAAGAUGGGUAAAAAAGGGCAGGCCAACCCAUCAGGGCAAAGCUGGAAGUGGAGAGUCCAGGAUAUGCCCUUUGAGAUCAGCUCAUGUCCAGAGGAAGGGUGAGGCUGGACCACACAUGCCUCAGUAUUCUUCCCAAACUCACCAGGCGAAGAAGUCUCUCCACCGCCUUGCGGCAGAGUGAAUGAAGGAAAUGGGAGGGAUCUGCCUUUUCCCCAUUCCAUUUUCUCUUUCAUUGGUUCAUUCAACUUACACGCUUUCAGCAGUCAAGCACCCUAUAGCUGCUGGGAAUGCAAAGAUGAAUAGGAUGUGAUUCAUCCCUAGAUGGUAAUACAAGAACAGCAUACCGUUACUGAGGAUGUUCCUGAAGGCAAGGCAUGUUUUCAUUCAUUUCUCACAAAAUAUUCACAGCCACCAGAGAGAUGGAUACUAUUACUAACCUUAUUUCACAGUUGAAGAAACUAACUAAGGCUUGGCAAGGCUGAAGGACUUGCUCCAAGUCACAGAAGUUCGCUAGUGGCAGAGCCAGGGUUGAAAUCUAGGCAGAGCUAGGGUUCUUAAUUCCUUCCCAUGUCAUAGGCCCGCGGUGGAGACAGGCCUGUGAACAAAUAAUUACAAUGUAAUGAAUGAGGUAAGUGCUAAUGGAGGGAUGUACAGAGCACAGAGGAAGGACUGAGUAAACAGGCCUACGUGUGGGACAUUUGUGCAAUUUCCUCUGUCUAUUGCCAGAAAUUAACAUACUGAAGUCUUUUUGGGGCUUGAUUUAUUAUUAUUCUACAUGGAUUCAGAUAUACAGCUCAGUUCAUGGUGCCCUGCUGCCCCUCCCAAGUGCAACAGCACUUAAAAUAAUUUCUUCCUGACACCCUGGACCCUCUCCAAGAGUUCUGUUCUAGCUUUUGGACAAGGCAGAAACAGGAAGAGGAUGUCCUAAUGUUCCCUGACUAGAGACCUGAAUUGGAAUUUGGAAUCAUUUUCUGAUUUAAAUCACUGUUAAAACUCUAUCAUCCUGUUAUAUGUGUGUGUGUGUGUGUGCACGCACUUGUAUGCAUGCAUGUGAGUCAGUGUCAGCUAUGUUAUACACCAGCUAUAAUAAAUGUGCUACAUAAAAUCACUAAAAUCAGCUGUGACAUUGGUUAAAUUUCUAUACUUCUACAGUUUAUAGGUCUUAUAUCAAAUGAAGACAAUUUCUCUUCAUAAAGUAAAAUUUUCUCACCUCAAAAACUUGUUUGGCUAUGACUUUAUCAUAAUUUAGUAGUAAUAUAUUACAAUUUCUGUUAAUCACACAAAGCCAGUUAUGUUUCUGUUUCAUUCCUUUAUUAGGAAUUGUUUCCAUUUGGCCCCCUUUCCGGCAGCUUAUCUUGGAGAUACUGAACAUUCAUACAUUUGGUUUUCAUACCACUUGAAACUAGAGUGGUUACCAUUAAGUUUAUAUGACCAGACUGGGUACUGUAAACAGUUGUCUGCACUGCCAAGUGAUGGCCUAUUCAUGCCAGGAUAUUAAGCACAUCCUGUAGUCUGGCGUAAACACCAGGUGGAAUUCGAAUCCAUUCAGCACAGAGACCCUCACUCUUUCCUCCUUAAUAAAUGAAAAUCUCUGGGAAGUCCCUGCUCAGGAAUUCUCUAUUCCUUUUAAAGUCUGCGAGUCUCACUCCAAAACGAACCAAGAAGAGGACUGGAUGAAUCACUCCUUAGCUCCCUCUAUUCACAACGUAUUUCUUAGAGUGACCUCAGGAACUCACAGAGAAGUUCCAAGUUAACACAUAGCCCCUUCUUGUACUAGGUUAUUCUUUCAGGGAUUCAAGGUUGAAGAAAUUCUUCCUUCUUUACAAAGUUGAAAUUGCGUGGGAGCUUUGCAGCCCUGUCUCAUUACUAUACCAUUCUCCUAUUGGAGCUGUAGAAACGACAAAGUGAGACAAGGUGAUCUUCCCAACCACAAGAUAACCUCUGGGUCUCAAUGUCAUCAGAGGCAGUGUCUUUGACCUAUGAGAUAACUGGUGACACUAUUGAGACCCAAUUAGAGCCAUCAUCAGGGGAGAUUCCCAGGAGGAGGUACAGCCUGCUUAUUACUGAUAUCACCACAGAAAGGUCCAGGGGCAUUGUAGCUUUAUUUCAAUGGCCUUUCACUCCUUAGGCAUACCGGGGUAUCACACUGGCAUAGACAGCCUGAGAAAUGGAGUAUAUUUGGAGGAGAGCACAUGCAAUGGCUUUGUAGGCAGGAAAAGAAGCCGCGUCUUCUAAUAACUUACCCAUCAUCAAAGGAGUAAUCUGAAAAUUGACAAUUGUGGCAAACCACUGGCCAUCUCUCAAUAUCAAUUCUCUCUUUUUUCUAUAAUAACAGAAUCUCCAAUAUGUAGCUGGAAACAGCCUUGAAGCCCUGUUGGUCAUGUGACUAAGUUUGACCAAUGGGAUACAAGCAGAGGUGAUGCCAUUUCUGGGUUGUGCUAUUAAAGGGAAGGGCAGGUCCUCCCUUUCUCCACCUUACCUUCUGGUUGACUAGAAUGUGAGUGUGAGGGUGAUCCAUCCUGGAUCCUGUGGGUCCAGGGAUGACAGAGCUAUAUGAUAGAAGAAACCUGGGCCUUUGAGCCUCGAGCUGCCACACUAGACCUGGACUGCUUAUUCCCAGACUGUUAGGUGAGAGAGGAAAAAUCAUCUAUUAUGUUGAAACCACUGUUAGUCUGGGUCUCCGUCAAAGCCCCCAAGACUUUAUCCUAAGUCAGUGACUGGAUUUCAGAAGAAUAAAGUCAAUUUUAGUUGAGAACAUUGCCUUUUAAUCAAACUCAUCCAUUUCAAAAGGAUCAUGUGUUUGGAACAGAGGUCAACAGCUGUUACUCCUCUGUGGCAUUCCGGAGAUGUGGACAGAUGUAUUCAGAUUGACCUUCCUUAUUCAAUUACCAAGUGAAUGAAUCUGCUGUCCAGGAACUGUCCUAGAGCCAGAUCUGCAUUGCCUGGGUGCAUGAUGGAUCUUUGCUGACAGUGCAUGAAUUCCUCUAGGAUCUCAUCAGUAUUGAUUCCUUAGGAUGAUGUCAAAGUUACACAACUUUUGCUUCAUCCUCUUGAUGGGGGUCUGCAUGAGUAUAGAUAGGGUCAGCAGAAAAGCAACAAGAACUGCACCAGACUGAAGGAAGAUGUUGCAAGUCACACAAAGAAUCCUUGCUGAAUUUUUUUGAAGUUGGUGCUAAAGGUCAGAUGUGCCUAUCAAGAAGAUACAUUCCUCUUUAAAAACCUUGCUCCUAAGCACUGCAUUAUCAAUCACAUAUUCCAGCUGUUGGUUGAUCAGGGUUGCAUUUACUUCUGCCAUGGUGCUCGAAUCUAGAGUUUACUUUUAAAGUCAGAACAAAUCAAUUUUAAAUCUCUGCUUUCCUACUUGCUGUGUGAUUGUGGGUAAAUUAUGUAACUUCUCUAAGCUUCUGUUUUCUUAACUGUAAAAUGGAGGUAUUAAUGGCACCAACCUCCUAGGGUUGUUGUGGAGAUUAAAUGAGAUGAUGCAGGCAUAAUGCUUAGCACAAUGCUUGCUUGCAGGAAGCCUCCAGGAAACGUUAGCUGCUGCUUUAACCACUUGGAGCCACAGGCCUACCUCUCUCUGUAAGUGGUCAAAGGUUUUAGGUAACUUUUUAAAGCUGCUUCUCACCAUAUUCUUCUCAUGUAAUCCUUGAUAAAGCCUCCUAGAUUGUUCCUGCAAAUAUAUCUUUCUGUAAUAUUUGUUUACUCAGUGGGAUUAGUUGAUAAUAUGGUAGUUGUUUUUUGCUUUUUUCAUUUCUUUCAGGUAUAAUGUAAUUUUUUCAGGCUUUGAUCCUGCUGGUUUGUGAUAAUAUGCAUGGCUUUCUUAACCAUCUUUGUGUACCUUUUUGAGUAAGUUUUCCAUACCAACAGCUGGGGUAACACCAAUAGCUCAAAGAGAGAAUCUCAGGCUUUGUUGUUUUCCCACAAUCACCAUGUGAGCGUUUGAAUCUCUGUAUGACAGAGCUGGAAGGAAAAUUAGAAACUAAAGUAAAGGCAACUUUCUAGCUGGAAUUUAGAUCAAAGAAGAUAUUAUCCUGGUAGGUCACUCAAUAACAGUUAGAGAGAGCCCAAGGGCUUCCUGUCAUCAGCUGCUUGACAACUGUAAUUCUUAUAGGCUCUUCAGUGAUACUUUGUAGUUCAUACUGCUGUGUGUUAUAAUGAAAGAGCAUGCACCAAGGAGGAAUACUAUGCUAAUUUCUAAGACAGAGUUCUCAUGGUACUCAUGCUAUGAAGUAAAAUCAAUCCACAUAAACAUAUUGAACAUAUAUUCAAUGAUCCAUUUUUGUGGAUCCAACAAAAUUUUACUUAGCCCCUUAUCAUAAGUGUGACAUGAAGAUUCAUUAAAUAAUUUCUGUCCUAAGAGUGUGGAAAUUUAUACCUUGUGUGGGAUAUGAACAACUUAAUACGUGAGUUAUUUUCAUCCCACAUUACAUCUGAGGAAUUGAGGCUGUGACUUUCUAAGAUCACAUGACUACAAAGUGGCCCAGUUGGGAUUUGACCCCAAGCCUGUGGGACUUCAAGUCCUGUGCUUUUACCACUAGAAUUCCCCAAAGUGUUUUUCCCCGACACCAACUCAUUCUUUGACACCAGUUGGUUGUCCUACAAUUUAAUUCAUUUCUGACCCCCAUCCUGAAGCUAUUCAGGAACCCAACAAGAAUCACCUCAUUAGAACAAAAGAUGCUUCCACCACCCAGGGAAUUCCAAGGCAUUGAGGAGCUCUGUGUCAGAAACUGAGGCCAAAGACCAAAUAUGAAAACACAAUGCUACUACAACCUUUAUUGAUUGGGAAAUUGCAAAGGUUUUAGGAGCUCUUGCCAAGAGCCAAGGAUGAAGACAACAAUAUUACAUCACAGUAUUACAUGCUCUGAGAUUCUUUUUCUCAGGGUCUUAGCCCCAGGCUUAGUUCCUAUUAUGUUUCAACAGCCUAUAGAGUUUGAUCAUUUGUAUUAUAUUUUUCUCUGACAAGCCAUGUGGUCAGGACUUCAGUAUACUUGUUGAUUGAUUAAGGUCAUUUGUU